rnacentral:rRNA from 1 species
UGGGGAAUUUUGGACAAUGGGCGAAAGCCUGAUCCAGCAAUGCCGCGUGUGCGAAGAAGGCCUUCGGGUUGUAAAGCACUUUUGUCCGGAAAGAAAUCCUUGGCUCUAAUACAGUCGGGGGAUGACGGUACCGGAAGAAUAAGCACCGGCUAACUACGUGCCAGCAGCCGCGGUAAUACGUAGGGUGCAAGCGUUAAUCGGAAUUACUGGGCGUAAAGCGUGCGCAGGCGGUUUGCUAAGACCGAUGUGAAAUCCCCGGGCUCAACCUGGGAACUGCAUUGGUGACUGGCAGGCUAGAGUAUGGCAGAGGGGGGUAGAAUUCCACGUGUAGCAGUGAAAUGCGUAGAGAUGUGGAGGAAUACCGAUGGCGAAGGCAGCCCCCCUGGGCCAAAUACUGACGCUCAUGCACGAAAAGCGUGGGGAGCAAACAGGAUUAGAUACCCUGGUAGUCCACGCCCUAAACGAUGUCAACUAGUUGUUGGGGAUUCAUUUCCUAGUAACGUAGCUAACGCGUGAAGUUGACCGCCUGGGGAGUACGGUCGCAAGAUUAAAACUCAAAUGAAUUGACGGGGUC